UAUAGACCUAUCCUUGUCUGCUGAUAGAAUCACAGCGGAGCUGAGGAGGUACCUCCUACUGGAGGUAGGUGCCAGUUUCAGGAAGAUCAUUUUUCGCUCUGUAAAUAAUUAGAAGGUGCAUCUCCUGCCACAGGCCAGAGCUUCUAGUAUUUCUUCAGAGAAGGACUAAGAACAGAUCCUUAUAUACAUGACCAACAUAGUUUUGAAUAGAAAUUUCAAACUACAUAAAGAGUUGUAGAGUUUCAAAGCCAUCAGUCACUGAUAAAAAUUCCUGUGAUAAGUGAGUUUGAAACAUCCAGGACAGGAAGAGCUGCUACAGUUAUGGGUUAUUUGAGAAACCUCAAGGUAAUUAUUUGUGCUUACAGUCUCUGCCAAGCACAAUUACAUGACAUCUACAGGCAGGAUUUCAGGAGAACAUGGAAAUCCACUUGUUUGAUCCAUCUGUCCAUCUCUGGUGAAGUAUUCAUGCAAAACACUUUAUGAGUUUCCAUAUUUUUCUCUCUUCCAGUAGACUCACCACAAGGCCACACACCUGAAAUGACCAAAGAAGAGCAUUGCAGCUGUUUCCUUACUGCAGACAGAAUAUUUUUGCAGGUAUUGACCCUGUGCUGAGUUGAGAAAUGUGUCUAGACCAGGUUCAUCAAUUUGGAGCAACCUUUUAGGAGGCCAUUGCUCCCAAAGAUACCUCCAGGUCCCAGGGACAUGACACUCCCAGGGGACUUCAGCAGACUCCAGCACUCUCUCCUGCUUAACUUGCUGAGUGAAAAUGAGUGAACAGAGGUAGUGGAAAGCAGAUGGUCAGAAAUGUACUAAAUACUCUCAUGAAGGGAAUUUAAUUGAGACGGAAGGAUUUGUCACCUUUCACUUCUCCCUAUCAGGGCUUCUGAAAUUUGGCAAAGUUCGUCAUGGAUCUGAAGUCUAUUUCUACUAAAUAAAUUAGUGAAUCAGUGGCUAACACUAGAACUAAGUCAGCAUGAGACUACAGUGCAUGCAAAU